CAUGCAGCCGAGGACCCACUGGAUUUGGCAGGAGAGAAGACCACUGACAAACUUGUUAAGGGAAGUUCCAUCAAGGAUCUCAACAGGACAAACACAAAGAAAAUAUCAAGGUGCAUCAUAGACAAAUUAUUGAAAAUCAGCAAUAAGGAGAAAACCUUAAAAACAGCAAGAUAAAAAGAUGCAUUAUGUGUAAAAUUAAAAAAGAAAACAAUGAUUGCUGAAUUCUUAUCAUACCAAUGCACAAAAGACAACAGAACAAUAUCUUUAAUGUGUGAAAAGUAAAAAAAAAA
ensembl:lncRNA novel transcript